CUUUUUUGUAUUUUUAGUAGAAACAGGUUUUCACCAUUUAGGCAGGCUGGUCUCAAACUCCUGACUCAGGUGAUCCGCCCACCUUGGCCUCCCCAAAGUGCUGGGAUUACCGGCAUGAGCCACCACACCCGGCCUAAUUUUUGUAUCUUUAUUAGAGACUGUGUUUCACCAGGCUGGUCAGGAUGGUCUUUAACUCCUGACCUCAGGUGCUCCACCCGCCUCAGCCUCCCGAAGUGCUGGGAUUAGAGGUGUGAGCCAUGGUGCCCAACCCAGUUACCAAC
rnacentral:lncRNA from 10 species